GGGUGAAAAAGGGGGGCAACGUCUCAAACUCAGCUCACAACUGCAGAGCUGAGUUUGAGACGUUGCCUCCUCUUUUUCUACCU
rnacentral:pre_miRNA from 1 species